rnacentral:rRNA from 1 species
GAUGAACGCUGGCGGCGUGCCUAAUACAUGCAAGUCGAGCGAACAGACGAGGAGCUUGCUCCUCUGACGUUAGCGGCGGACGGGUGAGUAACACGUGGAUAACCUACCUAUAAGACUGGGAUAACUUCGGGAAACCGGAGCUAAUACCGGAUAAUAUAUUGAACCGCAUGGUUCAAUAGUGAAAGACGGUUUUGCUGUCACUUAUAGAUGGAUCCGCGCCGCAUUAGCUAGUUGGUAAGGUAACGGCUUACCAAGGCAACGAUGCGUAGCCGACCUGAGAGGGUGAUCGGCCACACGGGAACUGAGACGCGGUCCAGACUCCUACGGGAGGCAGCAGUAGGGAAUCUUCCGCAAUGGGCGAAAGCCUGACGGAGCAACGCCGCGUGAAUGAUGAAGGUCUUCGGAUCGUAAAACUCUGUUAUUAGGGAAGAACAAAUGUGUAAGUAACUAUGCACGUCUUGACGGUACCUAAUCAGAAAGCCACGGCUAACUACGUG